GGAAAGCGAGGCCAGGUGGGGAAGCCACCCAGUGUUUUGGAAACAGUGGGGAGACAUAGCCUUGCUUUGAAGCCGACUGGCUGGGAUCUGUCCUCUUAAUGGUGUCUCCAAGGGAGCCUGGGCAAGAAAUUAUCCUGCGGGGCCUCAGUUUCUCUUCUGCGAAGUGGGCAUAAUACUUAGCUCCUGGGGUUGUUCCACGGUUAAGAGAGAGGAUGUCUCAUCGGGCGCAGGAUAAGCCCGCAGUGUCUCCCUGCAUCCUUCCUCCUCUGCACGAGAUUGCCGUCUUCCAGUCUCCACGUAGCCCAUCCCAAGUUUCUGCCUCCCGGCCGCGGUCCCCCAACCCGAGCGCGAGGCUGGUUACUCACUGCGAAGCGGGCACAUGCUGAGCGGAGCGGCGGGACGCGGAACCGAGCCGGCAGCUGGACGCAGACGGGUGCACGCGGCAGAGAGUCCACGGUGCGCCAGGGCGACACUGACGGGCACCCAGCAGUGACCUGGUCACUUUCGGCUCACUCCCACACCAAAUCUGACUCAAUGUGUUUUAUUCCUGGGUACCAUCUUAAAUACAAAAAGAGAUGAAAUCAGACUGGCUAUGCAAUAACUACUCUUAGAGAAUCCAGUUUCUUACAGCGUCCAGGAGAGAAUCGUUAGAGUUUAGUGGGAUGGAUGUACAGAGUCCUGGGAGGAGAGGUCGGAGAAAGGUCAUCAAGGAGCCAUGGCGUUGAGGAGGCAGCAAAAGCGCCCAGAAGGAGGGAGCUGCGACUUGAUUGUUGACAGGGAUCAUUGAAUUUGAGCAUCAAUCAACUGGUGUUCUCCUGCCAGACACCUGACAGAGUGGGGUGCAGUACAGCUCUACUCCUGAAAGGUGACCUGUCAGGGUAAGAAGCACAGCCUUACAUUCCUGUUACGUGCCGAAGAAUUGAUGCUUUUGAACUGUGAUGUUGGAGAAGACUCUUGAGAGUCCCUUGGACUGCAAGGAGAUCCAACCAGUCCAUCCUAAAGGAGAUCAGUCCUAAAUAUUCAU